CCCUUAGAUGUUCUGGGCCGCACGCGCGCUACAAUGAUGAAUUCAACGAGUUUAUAACCUUGGUUGAAAAGCCUGGGUAAUCUUUUGAACUUUCGUCGUGAUGGGGCUAGACCCUUGCAAUUAUUGGUCUCCAGCGAGGAAUUCCUAGUAAACGCAAGUCAUCAGCUUGCAUUGAUUACGUCCCUGCCCUUUGUACACACCGCCCGUCGCACCUACCGAUUGAAUGGUCCGGUGAAAUCUUCGGAUUGAGACUUUGAUUUCUUCACGGAAAACGCUGUUUUAAAAAGUUGAUUAAACCUUACCAUUUAGAGGAAGGUGAAGUCGUAACA
rnacentral:rRNA from 1 species